UACGUAGGGGGGCAAGCGUUGUCCGGAUUUAUUGGGCGUAAAGGGCGUGUAGGCGGUUUGUUAAGUCAUGUGUGAAAUCCCUCGGCUCAACCGGGGAACGACGCAUGAAACUGGCAAGCUAGAGUACCAAAGAGGGGGGUGGAAUUCCCGGUGUAGCGGUGAAAUGCGUAGAUAUCUGGAGGAACACCGGUGGCGAAGGCGGCAUCCUGGACCAACAUUGACGCUGAGGAGCGAAAGCCAGGGGAGCAAACGGG
rnacentral:rRNA from 1 species